rnacentral:rRNA from 1 species
CGGCGGACGGGUGAGUAACACGUGGAUAACCUACCUAUAAGACUGGGAUAACUUCGGGAAACCGGAGCUAAUACCGGAUAAUAUAUUGAACCGCAUGUUCAAUAGUGAAAGACGGUUUUGCUGUCACUUAUAGAUGGAUCCGCGCCGCAUUAGCUAGUUGGUAAGGUAACGGCUUACCAAGGCAACGAUACGUAGCCGACCUGAGAGGGUGAUCGGCCACACUGGAACUGAGACACGGUCCAG